GAUUGACCUCGGAUCAGGUAGGGAUACCCGCUGAACUUAAGCAUAUCAAUAAGCGGAGGAAAAGAAACCAACAGGGAUUGCCUCAGUAACGGCGAGUGAAGCGGCAAGAGCUCAAAUUUGAAAUCUGGCCCCAAUCGGGGUCCGAGUUGUAAUUUGUAGAGGAUGUUUCGGGCUUGGUACCGGCCUAAGUUCCUUGGAACAGGGCGUCAUAGAGGGUGAGAACCCCGUAUGCGGCCGGCCUCCAAGCCUACACGAAACUCCUUCGACGAGUCGCAUUGUUUGGGAAUGCAGUGCAAAAUGGAAGGUAAAUAUCUCCUAAAGCUAAAUACCUGCCAGAGACCGAUAGCGCACAAGUAGAGUGAUCGAAAGAUGAAAAGCACUUUGGAAAGAGAGUUAAAAAGUACGUGAAAUUGUUGAAAGGGAAGCGCUCGCGACCAGACCUGUCCGCAGACGCUCAGCGGCGGUUCUCCGCCGUGCACUCGUCUGCGAUCAGGCCAGCAUCGGUUCCGGCGACCGGAUAAAGGCCCCAGGAAUGUAGCUCCCUCCGGGGAGUGUUAUAGCCUGGGGCGCCAUACGGCCAGCUGGGACCGAGGACCGCCUUUCGAAGGAUGCUGGCGUAAUGGUCGUGAGCGGCCCGUCUUGAAACACGGACCAAGGAGUCUAACAUCUAUGCGAGUGUUUGGGUGUCAAACCCAUGCGCGCAAUGAAAGUGAACGGAGGUGGGAACCCUCAAGGGCGCACCAUCGACCGAUCCCGAAGUUUACGGACGGAUUUGAGUAUGAGCAUAGCUGUUGGGACCCGAAAGAUGGUGAACUAUGCCUGAAUAGGGUGAAGCCAGAGGAAACUCUGGUGGAGGCUCGCAGCGGUUCUGACGUGCAAAUCGAUCGUCAAAUUUGGGUAUAGGGGCGAAAGACUAAUCGAACUAUCUAGUAGCUGGUUCCUGC
rnacentral:rRNA from 1 species